AUUAUCGCAUCUCCCCGACAAACACCACGAGAAUUCCGCAGCCCACACGCUGCACCUGGGGCCCUUCAGCCCCUGCAGGAGAAGAAUGGGGCGAGUGAUUGGUACGUGGCCUUCCCAGCCUGCAGAGCCGCCUGCUUUGGUUGUAAUCAUAGGCAAGCUCAGCCUGCUUUGGUUGUAGUCGUAGACAAGCUCAGGUUUCCGCCUCUGCACGUCCCGGUGGGCUCGCCUGGGACUCCCUUUGUCUGUUGUACAAGACUCCACUCUGGCCCCCCCUUUGGAAGAGACGAUGUCUCCAUCCUCAGGAAGUAGAGAAACACUCUCCGCCACCCUCCAUCCUGACCCCCGUGCAGAGGAUGAAGUGCUGUCCCAGAAGCCCCCUCUCAGGGGUGCCGUAAGUCUCAGAGAGAGGAGCACCCCGGGGCCUCCGUGGCAGAAUCCUGUGAGUGUCUUUGGUUAAAAUGUGCAGGAAGUGUUAACUCCUAAGCUGCCAGCAGAUGGUGUGCCGAGAUACUGUGAAGUCACAUGAACUUGAUUCCUGUUGGAAAGA
rnacentral:lncRNA from 1 species